AGUGAUUUUUAUCAAAAAGUGACUGCAUACCAUAUAUACACCAAUGCACAGGCAGAAGCAUGUCAUACAUGAAAAAAACAAGAAAGAAUAGAACAAGUAUAGGCCUUUGUUUGGCUGUGUAUGGACAUUCCACUCUAGAUGUACCCUGAUCGUCUCUAAACUUUACAGUUUUAUAUAUAUAUAGAGAGAGAGAAAGUAAAGCAUAUUCACAUUUAAAAAAAAAAAAAACUUUUUGACUUUGUAGUAGGAGCCCCAAACCAAUAUCCGUCAUAGUUAUUAAUUCUAAUGUGAAGAAACCCCUGUCAGUAUCUAUAUAAUAAGCCUAAGGCUCAGGUUGAUUUCAGUUGGGUCAUGUGUCCCCGUGUGGAUCAGUUACAGUGACCUGGGAAGUGGUAUGUUUCCACUGACCAGUCAGAGCCGCUAUUCCUUGUUGGGAUGGUGCACUAAAACUGAUAGUACUGCCAUGCCAUAUCUAUGAGGAGUGGAAAAUGUUUACCCCUAGGUGAGGGGAUGCUAGACCAAC
rnacentral:lncRNA from 1 species